CUCCCAAUUUUCCCUAAAAACACAUUUCCUUCUAUAUGCUGACGCUACCUUCUCUCUCCAUACCACAUCCCUCUCUUCUUCUCUUUCCUUUGCAACCCUAGCCUACCACAAUCCCCUUUUCUACCCUAUACACGACCAUCGCCAUUGAGAAACCAAUCCCAUAUUUGUUAUCCCCAUCUCAAGAUCUUCCUAACAAACCAAAUAGAUUUUUGUUUCGGCUAACCUUGUCGUCAACAACCUCUUCUCAUUCUCCGGCAAUGUCUAUCAACACCGAAUCUUCACCACCACCGCCGGUCAUCGGAAAAAUUGGAUCGUACACUGUUUUCAUGACGUCGCCUUCAACCCCUAAACCCUCUUCUUCCGAACCUGUUACUACUACUCCUCAUUCACCAAACAUCAACAAUGGUAACAAUCAUGCUAAGAUCCUUCCUCCUCCACCUCAUAUUCGUAAUCUUGUACCGUCUUCCAAAACCCUAUCAUAUGAUUCUUCUUCGUUUGUUGGAUUUUUCAAGAACGCUGUUAACAAGGUUCAAACCGGCUAGAUGUAAUGGAAUUCUAUGCAGGGGGAGCUGGACUAUUUUCUGGUAUUACUAUUUUCUUCGGUUCAGUUGCUAAUCUCACUGAGACAAGCAUCUACUUUAUCCAGAUUCAUUUAACAGGACCUUGGAAGAUGUUUUAAAGAGUGGUAUGAAAUUGUGAACUUCUCAAGAUUCAAUUGAGCCAACCUUAUUAAAAUGAAAAAUUACUGUCAUUGUUCAAUUGAUCUGUUCCAUCUAUAUGUUUUAUGUUUAGUCACAACUGAAACAAACAGAUUGAACUCCCAGAUCCAAUUCUGAUCCUAUAAUCUGUUGGCCAUCAGGUAUUAAGAUGUUUCCCUUGUUAACUGCAUUAAAUUCAUCUUUAUAAAACCCGGCGUGUCUCCAUGCUCGAAUUUUUCCAACCCUCUUUUGUCUCAUUGCAAGAUCUAGUUGGUCUGUUUAUGUCUAUAUUACUCCUUGGAGAUUUCAUCUUAGUGUUGCUUACAUUACUUCAGAUGUACUCGCUGCCGCUAAUGAAUUUCUUCUUAGUAUUAUUUGUCCUCCCUCUUGGUGUGUUAUUUCUAUUUCCAUAUGGAAUCAGUGAUGUGUUUAGUCCAGGGCCUAGGCGAUCAGCGAGCCUUGCUCGGCUAUAUGUUGUGUGGAAUCUGACCUCCCUAGUCGUUGUAAGUUGUUCUAAACAUGAACUUGCUUCUAACUAGCGUUUUUACCUAACUACAGUGCUAAACUUUUGAAGAAUGCAUCACAGAAUUAACAUCAGCUAUAGGAACAUGUUGUUCUUUUUCCAUUCCAGUCAUUUGAUCCUUCCUAAAAACUGUAUUAAGGUGAUAAUUAGUUACCCUAAUCUAACCAUGAUUAAAGCAUGAAAAAAAUGAUGAAAAAAAUGAAGAAAAAUUAAAGUGAAGUUACAUUUUAGAAACAACAAAACUGAAGAGAGGAAGAGGCAGUUGCUUAGUUAGCACGCUUUCAUUCUUUCAUGUUUUGUUUUGGCCGCUGAUACUAGCUGUCUGUCUGACUACUACACUGCUGUUACACUUCUAAGAUUCUUUUUUUUUCUCAUAGAUGUGUUUGUUUGGCUUGUGUUGUGUUGUUGUAUUGUGUGGUAGUACUAGGAGUAACUAUUGCAUCAAAUCAAUUUCUCUUUUGUUAAAGAGAGUGUCAAUAAUUAAACAUGUAACACAAAAUACUCCACGUUGGCUUAGCACCCAAUAAGCAUUGAUAUUGAUAUUAGAUAGAUAUAGAUAAGUAUUGGUAUUAUAAUAUAUAUGCCCAUUUAGAGAGGGAAAUGAUAUGGUACUUUAUCAUUUAGUUGAGAAGUUUAAUAAUGUAGAAUCAUAAGUGGAACUUGUUUAAUAAAUCUUUGGUUUAUAGCAUGUUUUGUUUGAUUUUUUUUUUUGGAAGAGGUGAAAAUAAUUUUAGA